rnacentral:rRNA from 1 species
GGACUACAAGGGUAUCUAAUCCUUUUUGCUCCCCACGCUUUCGUCCCUCAGUGUCAGGGUCGCCCCAGCAAAUUGCCUUCGCUUUUGGUGUUCCCGAUGAGAUCAACGGAUUUCACCCCUACUCCAUCGGUUCCAUUUGCCUCUAACGCCCUCUGAGUUCGGCAGUAUUCAAAACAGCUCAAAGGUUAAGCCGAUGAGGUUUAAUCUUGAACUUACCGAACCACCUACGGACCCUUUACGCCCAAUAAAUCCGGGUAACGCUUGGGGUCUCUGUAUUACCGCGGCUGCUGGCAC